AACAACGCUGGCGGCGUGCCUAACACAUGCAAGUCGUACGAGAAAGUCGGCUUCGGCCGAUGAGUACAGUGGCGCACGGGUGAGUAGCGCGUGGGUAAUCUGCCCCCCGGUCAGGAAUAACCCGCCGAAAGGCGGGCUAAUACCCGAUAACACUGACGCUCCGCGGAGCGUCUUUCAAAGGAGGCCUCUGUUUACAAGCUUUCGCCGGAGGAUGAGCCCGCGUACCAUUAGCUAGUUGGCAGGGUAAUGGCCUACCAAGGCUGCGAUGGUUAGCUGGUCUGAGAGGAUGGCCAGCCACACUGGAACUGAGACACGGUCCAGACUCCUACGGGAGGCAGCAGUGAGGAAUCUUGCGCAAUGGGGGAAACCCUGACGCAGCAACGCCGCGUGAGUGAGGAAGGCCUUCGGGUCGUAAAGCUCUGUCAGAUGGGAAGAAAUGGGUGGGGGCUAAUAUCGCCCAUCCUUGACGGUACCAUCAGAGGAAGCACCGGCUAACUCCGUG
rnacentral:rRNA from 1 species